AACCCACCCUCGAAUCUGGGAUAACUCCGCGAAAGCGGUGCUAAUACCGGAUAAGACCACAUUCCGUUCGCGGAAAGAGGUAAAAAGCUGACCUCUCCAUGGAAGUUAGCGUUCGAGGACGGGCCCGCGUCCUAUCAGCUUGUUGGUGGGGUAAUGGCCUACCAAGGCAGCGACGGUAGCUGGUCUGAGAGGAUGAUCAGCCACACUGGAACUGGAACACGGUCCAGACUCCUACGGGAGGCAGCAGUGAGGAAUUUUGCGCAAGUCGGGGGAAACCCUGACGCAGCAACGCCGCGUGGGUGAAGAAGGCUUUCGGGUCGUAAAGCCCUGUCAGGUGGGAAAGAAACUUCUUCAGCACUAAUAAUGCUGAAGCCUGACGGUACCACCAGAGGAAGCACCGGCCAACUCCGUG
rnacentral:rRNA from 1 species